rnacentral:misc_RNA from 1 species
GAGAAAAAGUCGCCCCCGCCUGUCGAUGGUCGAUGAGGGAAGUCAUCCUCAAGCCCUAUUUCCGCUUCUAUUUUAGGUAUAACAAGGGGGACAGCAAAAGCAGCCAGCGGCUGCGAUUAGAGAUCACCUUCUCUUUCAUCAAAAACUACGUAAACUGCACUGUGGGAAAGACAGAUUGUCUUCCGGUCGAGGCAUACUAUGCUAAGUGAAUCUCUUAGUGGUUG